CCUUUCAUGACCAAGGAAGGAGGCAGCAACGUUUUUACAGUCCUGCGAAGCGCCUGUUACUAGAAAUUAUUUUCACUCUGUUCCUGAAAAGUAUGCCAAGUUCACUGGAGUCUCAACUGGGGCAUCUCUGAACUGGAGACUCGGGACUGGUGACUGAAAUUAUUUAGAAAAGACUAAUUAGGCGUGUGAGUAAUCUGAGUUUGAAGUUUGUGAAGUGCUGUGAAACUGUCCUGUGGCCAGUGAGAAGGGUGCUUUCCUAGCAUCAGAGCGAGGGUACGUGUUGUACAUUGUGGGAUGCAGUAGGGACUGAGGGCACAGCCAGCUUGGGUGGUUUGGAAGAGCACAUCUGGUGAAGUCAAGCAAGAUGUGACCUUGGGAGUGGUGCUUGGUGCUGUUCCUGCAGCAGUGGGAAGCCAUUGCUCUCAGGAGGAUUUGUGGAACAGGGGGAGGCAAUGAGGAGGUGUGGGAGCAGCAGUGGGGACCUGAGCUUGCUCCCAGCCUGCCACGGUAACAUCGUGCCUGGAGGGAUCCUGAACAUCUCCCUGCUGCUGGUGCCACCUCGGGUGUGGUAAAGCCCAGGGUCCUGGUUUCACCUGCCAGAGUUACACAGGUGUUUUCACUGCAGAAUAAAUGCAGCACUGUUAAAGAAAUGCCAGGCUUUUCCUGCGUUAUUUCCACAAAGUCAUGAGUUAAAAUCAUGGUCGUAUUGAAACUAAAAGCUCGCCCAAUUCUGUUAAUUCAAGUUUUUGUCCCUGGGCUGGACAAGGCACUGUGAAGGUACUAACCACUGCUGCUCUUCUCACAGGCCACUGUGUCACCUUUCAGCCUUACCAGUGGCCUCUUCUGGGUUCACUUCAAAUCUUUCUCCAACAAAUACGGCCAUAUAAAGUCAGUGAAUUGUAACCCCAUGCAGCCAACACACAGCAUGUUUCUUUCGUGAAUUUUAUUUGCUCUGUGCUUCUACUCUGAAUAGCAAAUCCUUUUUUCUGAAUCUGGUUCUAAAUAUUGUGGAGUUUGCUG